GACGAACGCUGGCGGCGUGCUUAACACAUGCAAGUCGAACGGUGAAGGGACCGGUUUUUGCUGGUUCUGGAUGAGUGGCGAACGGGUGAGUAACACGUGAGUAACCUGCCCCCUUCUUCUGGAUAACCGCAUGAAAGUGUGGCUAAUACGGGAUAUUCUGCGCCUGCUGCAUGGUGGGUGUGGGAAAGAUAUUGUUUCGGUGGGGGAUGGGCUCGCGGCCUAUCAGCUUGUUGGUGGGGUGAUGGCCUACCAAGGCGGUGACGGGUAGCCGGCCUGAGAGGGUGGACGGUCACACUGGGACUGAGACACGGCCCAGACUCCUACGGGAGGCAGCAGUGGGGAAUAUUGCACAAUGGGCGCAAGCCUGAUGCAGCGACGCCGCGUGAGGGAUGGAGGCCUGCGGGUUGUAAACCUCUUUCGCCAGUGAAGCAGGCCUGUCCCUUGUGUGGGUGGGUUGACGGUAGCUGGAGAAGAAGCGCCGGCUAACUACGUG
rnacentral:rRNA from 1 species